AUAUGCAAAACAAGCUUCAAAAUAUAGUGUUAUUGAUAUAUUAGUUCCAUUUAGUAAAGAAGAAAUCAAAUCUAUUAUUAAACAAAAGGUUAAGGAAAGAUGGCAGAGACAGUGGGAGGAAGAUAGAACUGGUAGAUGGCUGUACAGUAUUCAAAGAAAAGUUGGUGCAAUGAGGAGAACAGGACGAAAUAGAAAGGAGGAAACAGUAAUAUCUAGGUUGCGUUUUGGACAUACAAGGUUAAACAGUAAUUUAUUUAAAAUAGGAAAACAUCGAAAUGGAAGUUGUGAUUUUUGUGGUCAAGAAGAGACGGGGGGUGUUUAAAGUUAGCGUCCCGAUCCACACUCCAUUCCAGUAGAUGGCGGUAAUGCACAUCUAAAAGUUGCUUGCCAACCGCCAUAAAAAAAA